GUUGGGGAGAUUCUCUUUGCAGUUUUCAUAUGCAUUGCUGGAUUGGUUUUAUUUUCGCUGCUUAUCGGCAAUAUGCAGAAAUGUCUGCAAUCCACAACUGUUAGAAUAGAGGAAAUGAGAGUGAAAAGGCGAGAUGCACAGCUGUGGAUGGCCCAUCGUAUGCUUCCUGAAAACCUUAGAGAGCGGAUAAGGAGGUAUGAGCAAUACAAAUGGCAGGAAACCAGAGGUGUGGAGGAGCGGACUUUAAUCCGUACUCUACCAAAAGAUCUCCGAAGGGAGAUAAAUCGUCAUCUUUGCUUCGAUCUAAUCAUGAGAGUGCCAAUGUUUGGAAAAAUGGAUGAGCAAAUACUGGAUGCAAUAUGCGACCGUCUCAAGCCAACCCUUUACAUAAAGGAUAGUUACGUUGUUCGCGAGGGGGAUCCAGUUGAUGAGAUGCUGUUUAUCAUGCGAGGUGAUCUAGUGAGUGCGACGACGAAUGGUGGGCGAACUGGCUUUUUCAAUGCUGUUUAUCUCAAGGGUGGAGACUUCUGUGGAGAAGCUCUUCUUACAUGGGCCUUGGAUCCCCAUCCUUCCUCCCAUCUCCCCAUCUCAACUAGAACUGUACAAGCUUUAACAGAGGUUGAAGCCUUUGCUUUGGUGGCUGAAGACCUGAAAUCUGUUGCGUCUCAGUUUCGCCGUCUUCACCACAAGGAUAUCCAGCACACAUUCAGGUUCUUCUCGGUGCAGUGGAAGACAUGGGCAGCAUGCUUCAUUCAAGCAGCCUGGCGUCGUUACUGUCGGAGGAAGCAAGCAAACAGUCUACGCCAAGCAGAAGACAGAUUGCAAGACGCUUUGGCAAAUGAGGCUGCAACUACUCCUAGCCUUGGUGCAGCAAUCUACGCAUCAAAAUUUGCUGCCAANCAAUUUGCUGCCAAUGCAUUAAGAAGUCUGAGGCAAAAUGGGGGACGCACCUCUAGAUUGCCACAGAGAUUAGCAUUGGUACCUGAGAAGCCAGCUGAGCCUGAUUUUUCUACUCCCCUUCACUAGAGACUUGAAUACUUUAAGUGAGCUUAUACUAGUUUUGACUCAUAUUUUGCAAGCUCAAAUGCAAAUGUACAUUAAGCAUGAUAAUAUCAUGGUUGUAAGCUUACAUUCAAUGUUUUCCACAGGCUUGAUUACAUAUUUUUUUNNNNNNNNGGCUUUUCAGGCUGAGCAGACUGUUGACGAAUAGAACAAUUUUUUUUUUUUUUAAAUUAGC
rnacentral:misc_RNA from 1 species